rnacentral:rRNA from 1 species
GAGUUUGAUCCUGGCUCAGGAUGAACGCUGGCGGCGUGCCUAAUACAUGCAAGUCGAGCGAACGGACGAGAAGCUUGCUUCUCUGAUGUUAGCGGCGGACGGGUGAGUAACACGUGGAUAACCUACCUAUAAGACUGGGAUAACUUCGGGAAACCGGAGCUAAUACCGGAUGAUAUUUUGAACCGCAUGGUUCAAAAGUGAAAGACGGUCUUGCUGUCACUUAUAGAUGGAUCCGCGCUGCAUUAGCUAGUUGGUAAGGUAACGGCUUACCAAGGCAACGAUGCAUAGCCGACCUGAGAGGGUGAUCGGCCACACUGGAACUGAGACACGGGUCCAGACUCCUACGGGAGGCAGCAGUAGGGAAUCUUCCGCAAUGGGCGAAAGCCUGACGGAGCAACGCCGCGUGAGUGAUGAAGGUCUUCGGAUCGUAAAACUCUGUUAUUAGGGAAGAACAUAUGUGUAAGUAACUGUGCACAUCUUGACGGUACCUAAUCAGAAAG